rnacentral:rRNA from 1 species
UACGAAGGGAGCUAGCGUUGUUCGGAAUCACUGGGCGUAAAGCGCACGUAGGCGGAUGUGUCAGUCAGGGGUGAAAUCCCGGAGCUCAACUUCGGAACUGCCUUUGAUACAGCACGUCUUGAGUCCGAUAGAGGUGGGUGGAAUUCCUAGUGUAGAGGUGAAAUUCGUAGAUAUUAGGAAGAACACCGGUGGCGAAGGCGGCCCACUGGAUCGGGUAC